AUUGAACGCUGGCGGCAGGCCUAACACAUGCAAGUCGAACGGUAGCACAGAGAGCUUGCUCUCGGGUGACGAGUGGCGGACGGGUGAGUAAUGUCUGGGAAACUGCCUGAUGGAGGGGGAUAACUACUGGAAACGGUAGCUAAUACCGCAUAAUGUCGCAAGACCAAAGAGGGGGACCUUCGGGCCUCUUGCCAUCGGAUGUGCCCAGAUGGGAUUAGCUAGUAGGUGGGGUAAUGGCUCACCUAGGCGACGAUCCCUAGCUGGUCUGAGAGGAUGACCAGCCACACUGGAACUGGGACACGGUCCAGACUCCUACGGGAGGCAGCAGUGGGGAAUAUUGCACAAUGGGCGCAAGCCCGAUGCAGCCAUGCCGCGUGUAUGAAGAAGGCCUUCGGGUUGUAAAGUACUUUCAGCGGGGAGGAAGGGGUUGAGUUUAAUACGCUCAAUCAUUGACGUUACCCGCAGAAGAAGCACCGGCUAACUCCGUGCCAGCCGCCGCAGUAAAAC
rnacentral:rRNA from 1 species